GAACUGUAGUUGGAGACCACCUCAGGAAGCAAGGGGACUUGGUGACUGUUUCUGGAAAAGAGGCAGAGCAACAAAGAAGGGCAUUCACGCUUGUCUCCAACUUGGAAAACACACUCGAGACCAAAAGCACUAACCUUGAAGAAAUAGAGAGCAAGUACAAAGAAACCAGUACAGAGCUUCAGAGGAGUAUGAAAGAGAAGGAUGAAAUGAUCAACGCUCAUAAUGAAAGUAUGUUUUUUCUCUCUCUCUUACUUACUGAUGAAAUUAAAUUAGUAUUCUCAAGCUUAAUUUGUUUUUAACUAAUUUUUCAAUGUUUAGAGAUGAGUAGCAUGCAGCAAAAGGCGCGUGAUUAUUUGGCGAGUGUGAAAAAUGAACAUGAGAAGGCAGCUCAGCAUCUGGAAGCUCAAAGGAAAGAGUUUGAAGAGAGGGAGAGAUAUCUUGAUAAAUGUCAAUCGCUGAACAAAACUGAGCGACGAAAGCUUCAAUGGCAAAAACAGAAGGUAAUGUUCAACAUCCUUUGUACAAAUCCUUUUUUUUUGUUAAAAGUUUGCGCAAUGAUUUGUGAUGAAAUCUUUUAAUUUGUUUGUCAGAACUUAAUGGCUACCGAAGAGCAAAACAAAGCUGAUGAAGAAAUGACGAGAUUGGCUAAACAGCAACAGGUAUCUUUUAUUGCAUGGAUAAUGUUGAAGUUGCAGUGUCUGUUUUGAUUUGCUGGAUGUGUUGUUUUACAGAGGGAGAAAGAUGAGUUACGUGAGAGAGUCAAAAAGCUGGAGAAGAAACUGGAUGAUGAGCUGGCACGGGAGCUGGAGAUAGAGAGAAUGAGGGGUGGGCUGCAGGUGAUGGGACACAUGGAAGAUCCUGAUAUGAAGGAAGAGAUAGAAAAGACUAAAGAAAAACUCAAGGAGAAAGAGGAGGAGUCUGAAUACCAAGAGUCACUCUAUCAAGCUCUUGUUGUUAAACAUGGCUACACUAACGAUGAGCUUCAGGAUGCUCGCAAGGCUUUGAUCAGAGUAAGCAACAGUCUCUCCCUCUCCCUCUUCCCUCUCUCCAUUUGAUGUUAUGAUACUAACCAUGGUUAAGCUUUGUGCAGUCAAUGCAAGAGUUGACAUUACGUGGUCAGAUAUCUGUGAAGAGAAUGGGAGCAUUGGAUGAGAAACCGUUCCAGAAACUAGCUAAAGAGAGAUAUCCAGCUGAAGAAGCUGAUGUUGAAGCAGCAACGCUCUGUUCCUUGUGGGACAACCACUUGAGAGACUCGGCUUGGCAUCCGAUUAAGGUCAUCCAAAUAGACGGAAUCCACAAGGUACCAACAAUACAAUACACCUCUUCUUUUCUUGUCUUCUCUCUUAAACAAUGCUCUUAGACUGUCUACAAUUUUUUUUUGGCAGGAGGUGCUGAAUGAAGAAGAUGAGAAGCUGAAGGAACUGAAGAAAGAGCUGGGGGAUGAAGUGUUUGAAGCUGUGACACAAGCGCUGAUGGAGAGGAACGAGUAUAAUGGAAGUGGGAGGUACAUAGUGCCUGAGCUUUGGAACUUCAAAGAGGGAAGAAAGGCUACUCUCAAAGAAGGUGUAGUUUAUCUGAUGAACUUGUGGAAGCACUUGAAGCCAAAGCCAAAGCGUAAGUAACAAGCAAAAAAAGAAUCUGAAACCGAGGUUGUUGCUGAUGGGUUGAUACUCGUAUAUUAAGACUUAUAAGUGAGUUUUAAUGAUUUAUAUUCCACAAGAGUAGUGAGACAGUUGUUAAGGUGAGAUCUUGGAUGCAGAUGUUUAUAAUCUAAUGUGCUUGGUUUAUGACUUCGUUCCCCUGAAUUACAUAUAACAAACAGCUUUAACCAAGUUGCUUUGCUCUACUUGUAUAGGAGUUCCAGCUGGACUGUCCGUCCCUGGGUUCGAGCCUUGGCCACUGCGGAAUUUACACGUGGGCUGCAGCACCCGAGACUGAAGACCGUUACACGGUGAGCCACAUGGUGACGCCCUGGCAGCGUCCAUGCUCACUUCGGUCUCUAGUCUGGACCACCUCAGUGGGGCCAGGAUAUUCGGUUAGCAAAAAAAAAAAAAAACAAACAGCUAUUUAAAAAUGUUUACAACGCUUAUUUGGUUUGCUUCAUGUGAUAGUUUUUGUUGAUAGAUGGGUAUGCUUUUAGAAUUUUUGAUCAAUUGGUUAUAAUUUUUAAAUAAAUUUUCCAAAACCUGCUAUUUUUAGAAGUUUUUCAUUUUGUAGGAAAAUAUUGUAGAUUUGGGAUUGAGAUUUAGAAAUUAGAAUAACAAGAGUUUUUGUUGAUAUAUGGGCAUGCUUUUAGAAGUUUUGAUCAAUGGGUUAUAUUUUUAAAAUAAACUUUUAAAAACUGAAAUUUUUGGAAAGUUAUCAUUUUGUAGAAAAAUAUUGUAGGUUUGAGAUUGUGAUUUAGAAAUUAGGAUAACAAGAGUUUUAGUUGAUAGAUGGACAUGCUUUUAGAAUUUUUGAUCAAUAGGUUAUAUUUUUAAAAUAAACUUUUAAAAACUGCUAUAUUUGGAAAGUUAUCACUUUGUAGAUAAAUAUUGUAGAUUUGAGAUUGCUAUUUAGAAAUUAAGAUAACAAGAGUUUUUGUUGAUAGACGGGUAUGCUUUUAAAAUUUUUAAUCAAUUGGUUCUAAUUUUUAAAUAAAUUUUCCAAAACCUGCUAUUUUUAGAAAGUUUUCAUUUUUUAGGAAAUUAUUGUAGAUUUGGGAUUGUGAUUUAGAAAUUAGGAUAACAAGAGUUUUUGUUGAUAGAUGGGUAUGCUUUUAGAAUUUUUGAUCAAUAGGCUAUAUUUUUAAAAUGAAAUUUUAAAAACUGUUAUAUUUGAAAAGUUAUCAUUUUGUAGAUAAAUAUUGUAGAUUUGAGAUUGUGAUUAAUAAUUUAGGAUAACAAGAGCUUUUGUUGAUAGAUAGGUAUGCUUUUAAAAUUUUCGAUAAAUAUGUUAUAUCUUGAAGAUAUAUUAUCUAAAACCAAUUAUGUUAGGAAAAUUAUCAUUUUUGUCGACAAAUAUUGUAAAUCUGGGAUUGUGAUUUAAAAAUUAGGAUAACAAGAGUUUUUGUUGAUAGAUGAGUAUGCUUUUAGAAUUUUUGAUCAAUUGAUUAUAAUUUCUUAAUAAAUUUUUCAAAACCUGAUAUUUUUAUAAAGUUUUCAUUUUGUAGGAAAUUAUUGUAGAUUUGGGAUUGAGAUUUAGAAAUUAGGAUAACAAGAAUUUUUGUUGCUAGAAGGGCAUGCUUUUAGAGUUUUUGAUCAAUAGGUUAUAUUUUUAAAAUAAACUUUUAAAAACUGCUAUAUUUGGAAAGUUAUCAUUUUGUAGAUAAAUAUUGUAGAUUUGAGAUUGUGAUUUAGAAAUUAGGAUAACAAGAGUUUUUGUUGAUAGAUGAGUAUGCUUUUAGAAUUUUUGAUCAAUUGGUUAUAAUUUUUAAAUAAAUUUUCCAAAACCUGCUAUUUUUAGAAAGUUUUCAUUUUUUAGGAAAUUAUUGUAGAUUUGGGAUUGUGAUUUAGAAAUUAGGAUAACAAGAGUUUUUGUUGAUAGAUGGGUAUGCUUUUAGAAUUUUUGAUCAAUAGGCUAUAUUUUUAAAAUGAAAUUUUAAAAACUGUUAUAUUUGAAAAGUUAUCAUUUUGUAGAUAAAUAUUGUAGAUUUGAGAUUGUGAUUUAGAAAUUAAGAUAACAAGAGUUUUUGUUGAUAGAUGGGUGUGCUUUUAGAAUUUUCGAUCAAUUGGUUAUAAUUUUUAAAUAAAUUUUCUAAAACCUGCUAUUUUUAGAAAUUUUUCAUUUUGUAGGAAAAUAUUGUAGAUUUGGGAUUGAGAUUUAGAAAUUUGGAUAACAAGAGUUUUUGUUGAUAGAUGAGCAUGCUUUUAGAAUUUUUGAUCAAUAGGUUAUAUUUUUAAAAUAAACUUUUAAAAACUGCUAUAUUUGGAAAGUUAUCAUUUUGUAGAUAAAUAUUGUAGAUUUGAGAUUGUGAUUUAGAAAUUAAGAUAUGAAGAGUUUUUGUUGAUAGAUGGGUAUGCUUUUAGAAUUUUCGAUCAAUAGGUUAUAAUUUUUUAAUAAAUUUUCAAAACCUACUAUUUUUAGAAAUUUUUCAUUUUGUAGGAAAAUAUUUUAGAUUUGGGAUUGAGAUUUAGAAAUUAGGAUAACAAGAUUUUUUGUUGAUAGAUGGGCAUGCUUUUAGAGUUUUUGAUCAAUAUGUUAUAUUUUUAAAAUAAACUUUUAAAAACUGCUAUAUUUGGAAAGUUAUCAUUUUGUAGAUAAAUAUUGUGGAUUUGAGAUUGUGAUGUAGAAAUUAGGAUAACAAGAGUUUUUGUUGAUAGAUGAGUAUGCUUUUAGAAUUUUCGAUCAAUUGGUUAUAAUUUUUAAAUAAAUUUUCCAAAACCUGCUAUUUUUAUAAAGUUUUCAUUUUUUAGGAAACUAUUGUAGAUUUGAGAUUGUGAUUUAAAAAUUAGGAUAACAAGAUAUUUUAUUGAUAAAUGGGUAUGCUUUUAGAAAUUUUGAUCAAUAGGUUAUAUUUUUAAAAUAAAAUUUUAAAAACUGCUAUAUUUGGAAAGUUAUCAUUUUUUAGAUAAAUAUUGUAGAUUUAAGAUUGUGAUUUAGAAAUUAGUAUAACAAGAGUUUUUGUAGAUAAAUAGGUAUGAUUUUAGAAAUUUUUAUCAAUAUAUUAUAUAUUGUAGAUAUAUUAUCUAAAACCAUAGAUUGAGAUUCUAAUUUAAAACACCUUUUCAUAUGUUUCUUUUAGUUUUUGAUCAAGGUGCCUUUUCAGAUGCUUUUAAUUUUGGAAAAAUUUGGAAAAAUACCUUCAUAUGAGUUUAUAUUUUGAAAAUUACACUGCUUAUUAUUGUUUUUGAAAACUACACUUAUUUAUAGAUAAAAUGACCAAAAUACCCUAUUUAAAUGUUUAUAUGUGUUCUAAUAUUUAAUUUUAAAAUGUUUAACAAGUAAAUCCAACGACAAUCAGGUUUUAUAUUUUUCUUUUCUUAAUAAUAAUCUUAAUAUCUAUAUAAAAUCUUAUUUAAAAUUUUAUUCAUGCGACAAUAUAUUAUUAUCUUGUUGGAAAUCUCUGUCGUCACCGUCAUAAUGGAGAAAACUUAUUAACCCCCACGCGAGAAUGUAACCAAUUUUUGAACUUUAAGAAAAAAAAUUAAGUAUCCAUAAUCUGAAACACAAGCUCGACUAGAUCCACUGUUGCUUCCCCGGCAAAAUGCUUUUAAAUAUUUCAUCACUAUUCAAUAUACCUGUUCUUAGGAUCUUUUCAGAAACAAAAACCAAUCAAUCAUUACAAACUUCUUUAGCAAAUACUAAUGAUCCCUUGAAGAUUUUUUUUGUUUUGAUAUUAGAUCAGACACUCAUGAAAACACUCCAGGAUAUAUAAAAACAAAGGGUGCAUUGAUGUAUCUCUUUUCUUUUUGUUUCAGUUUAUUAAUUACUGUAACUUUGUACUUUGAUUAGCAUGAUUACAUGGAAGAUAGUAUGUUUAAGAACUUUGUGCAUAUGGGCACAUAAGAAUUCGUGGAGUUGCAGUUAAUUUUAUGCCAUAUUUGAACAGUUUUUUAAGUGUGUAGUUUGCCUAUUUUUAAUGAUGGUUGAUGAACUUGUAAAACAGUUCAAUCUAUUUCGUGAAAAAUAGACCCCAACAAUAUUAUGUAUUUAUCUCAAAUAUAAAUUUUGACACACAUAAAUAAUAAUAAUAUUUUUGUAUUUACAUUUUAGUUAUUUAAAUUUGUAAUAUUAGAAUCAGGAUAAAUAUGUUUUAUCAUAUACAAUAAAGUGUAGUUUUCAAAAAGAAAAAAGAGAAUUGUAUUUUUCAAAUUUCAAAUGAUAAACAGUGUAUAUUUCAAAUUAUCCCUUUAAUUUUUAACGACACACCUUUUUACAUUCUUUUCUUUUAACUUCUGAACAACAGACCUUUUUAAUUAAUUAAUUAAUACAUUCAUCUUAAUUUUUUUAUAUACACCACCAUCAUUGUCUAUAUAUAAUAGCACGACAUGUUUUUUGUUCUCCGCUGACUUCAUUACUUUUUAUAGGAAAAAAAUAAUUCAAAUGUUGAGCUUAACAUAUUUUGUUAUUGAUUUGAUUUGUUAUUAGUUUAUGGUCGGUUUGCCUCCAUAAUUUAUCUCACAAUUUAUGUGUGAUAAAAACUUAAAUAUAUGAGAUAUAUAAAAUAAUAUAAUUUUUGAAAAUGUAAAAUGAAAAUAUAACUAUUAGAUAUAUCUUUUUACUAUAUUGUUAAAGCAAUUUGGAAUUUCAGUAAAAAAAUUAUAUAUCUGUGAAAGAGCGGAUUAGUUUCCUAGUAUUGAUAAUGAAAAAGAUGUAUUUUUCCUUAAAUAGUCGAUUAUUAGGGCAUCUCCAAUCCAACAUCAUUUUUUCCUCUAAAAUGAAAUAAAAAUAAGUACGAAGUAAAUAUACUCUAAAUCUUAUUCUAUUUUUCUUUUUAUAAUAAAUUUUACUGCACAAAUGGAAUAAAUUAUUUUUUGUUUGUUUAUUACUCUAUUAUGAAAUGAUAAAUGAAGUAGGUUUAAAACAUUUUUCUUUAAUGAAUUUUUCGAUGGCAAUAAAAUGUUUAUUUUACUAAAGGAAAUAUUUAAUACUCCAAUAAAGACAAACCUUUAUUUUUGAAACACUCUUCUGAAGAUGGAACCGUAACCGCUUCAAAUGUAAAAAUACUAAACGAUAUCGAAAGUUCCAUGAAUUACAGUCGAUUUCCAUGAAUUUUACAAUGACAUUUAACAUGAAGAUUUAACCAAUAAAAGAAAUAUUUAUAAUAUAUUCGACGAUAAAGACAGCCUUCAAUUUCAUUUUUGAAACGCUCUCAUGGAACCGGAACCGCUUCAACCGUAUAAAUGCUGAAUAAUCAGUUCCGUUUUCAGACAAAAAGUUGUCACUUUUCUCUCUCUCUCUCUUUCUCGCUUUCGAUCACUCCGGCCGAUACAAUCCUCCGGCGACUCAAACCCAAUCCACGGUGAAUUCUUCAGAAACCCCCUACGAAUCUUUCGUUUCAUUUGUAGUCUAAAGUUUUGUGAUUGAUUAGAGAAACUCUUUCAAUCAAAGAUUUCUUUUUUAUGCUGUUUGUUGUUUGUUGAUGCUCUUAGGGUUUCGUUUGGUGAUGUCUGGGCGAGACAGGAUCAGCGAAUUGCCGGAAUGUUUGUUAACUCAAAUACUCUCAUACCUUCCGACAAAUCAAUCGGUGCAGACAAGUGUUUUGUCCAAGAGAUGGGAGAAUCUGUAUCUAAGCGUUCCCGGUCUUGACUUAAAUUGCUCUGUUAUUCCUUAUGAUGCUGAUGAACUGCUCUUAAGCUUCAUUGACAAGCUUCUCGAGUUUAGCCCUGAGUCAGUUCUGUUUAAAGUCAAGGUUCAGUGCAGAGACACAAUGAUAGAUGGGUUCAGGGAUCGGAUCGGUAUGAUGAUUGACCGGGGGACACAGCAUCUUGAUGUUGUGAGCAGUACCCAUUGUUUAGAGGACGACAAUUCUCUCUAUCCUAUUGUUGAUAUGAUGCCUAUGAAUCUCUACACGAGCAAGACAUUGGUUUACUUAAAGCUCUCCUCUUCUGGUCUUAUGGAUCCUGGUUUGGUUUCCCUGCCUUGUCUUAAAUUCAUGCAUCUUGAAGAAGUCAAAUGGCGUGUGCAUCUGGAGAAGCUUCUCUCAGGGUGUCCUGUUCUCGAGGAGCUGACUUUGGUGAGGGAUCUGGAAGAUGAUUAUGCACGUCGGCAUGAUGAGUUUAUGGCUAUGCGUGUGAGGUCUCAGAGCUUGAAGAGUUUUCGUGUGCUGCCGCUUAGGAAUGGAUAUGUCGGUUCGAUAGUGAAUUGCACACUUGAGAUUGAUGCUCCAGGGCUAGAGUAUAUGAGUCUUGGAGAAGAUCAAUUUGAUAGCAUUGUGGUAAAGAACCUGACUUCUUUGAUCAUGGUUAACCUUGAUAUCAAGUUUGUUGUCGGAUUCUGGGUGCUUUUUAAUACUUGGGACGUAUCAAAGAGCAAUGAGAUCCGUGAUUUUCUCAAUGGAAUAUCGAGUGUUAGACAUAUGAUCAUCUCUGCCAAAACAGUGCAGGCCCUUGAUCAUUACUCAAAAACAGGAAUGAUUCCAAAGUUCAACAACUUAUCCCGUUUAGAAGCAGUGUUUCAUAGCAAGUUAUUGCAGUUUCUGCCAGCCUUUCUUGAGUGUUGCCCCAAUCUGAAACACCUAGUCUUGGUAAAACCAUUAUUGUCCUUAUGUUUUUAUGGACAUGUGUAUUAUUGAAAACUCAGCAGUUUGUGUUUGUGUGUUGUUUUUGCAGAAGGUUGUUCAUUCAGAGGUGAUGAAGGAGGGGUUGGAACUCACAGAUGUGCCACGGUGUGUGUCAUCGACUCUUGAGUGUGUUGAGAUACAAGAAAAAUUACAAUGCGAGGAAGGGAAGAUGAAAGCAACCAGUUACUUUCUUGGAAACUCAGCAGUACUGAAGAAAUUUAUUCUGAGCCCCACAGCUUAUGAUCCUCGAAAUGUUGUGGAAUCAGAAAUAUACGACAAGGUUAAUAAACUCACAAAACGUUCUACAGGAUGUGAAAUUAUCAUUCGAGCCAUGGAGGAGGUCGUUAUCAUUUGAUGAGUCUUCUUCUUAGUUCUGGUUGGAUUCAUUUUGACCAUUGGUGCUGAUACAAGUUCUCCAUAUUCAGUAUGACUCUGCAAUCUUCUCUUCCUUUUCUUUUCCAAAAGUCCUAACCUCAGUUUGUUGGAUGUCUUUUGGAUAAAUGAUGAUCUUGCAUUCCCAUAAAAUUUCAGUUUGGUUACUCUUGGUUUUAUAUGUUUUAAGUCUAUAAAAAAAUUAGGUAUUAUGCAGCUCAUUUAAAAAAAUUAGAUUUUGAACUGCACAAAAUAUUUAAUAUUUUUUAAUGUCUAAUUAAUUAUGCUAUUACACGACAAAAAAUAUUACAUAGACGAAUUGGUAUGCAACAUUGCAACAUAUUACAUGUUAAGAAAUAUUUACAUAGGUAUUAUGUUUGAUUUUGUCUGAUUUUAAAUAGACAUUUUUAAAAAAUUAACAAAACAUUUGCAAUGUUGUUAAUGAAAAUUGUAUCAUAAAAUAUUAAUUAUUUCGCACUUAAAAAAGCACAUAAAAAUUUAACUAUAUUUUAAAAUUUAUUAAACUAUUGACCCAGAAUCCAUUCACGGUUAACCUAAUAGUCUGGUUUGUCGGGUUGAAUUAAAAAUAUUGAUUUAAAUAUUUUUAGUUUUUAUUUUUUUAUAAUAUACAUUUUUAUUCAAAUUUACCAAAAUGAUAUAUGAUGUAUGGUUUAACGUAAGCAUUUUUUUCUUGUGAAUUGUUAUUUUUGGUAAAAUAUUUCUUCAAAUCAAAUGGUUCAUUCAACUUUUGAUUUGAAUCGUGUGGCCCAUAUUUGCAUAGACAAAAUGUAUUUACUUAUUAGGCGAAAUUAAUUUGAUUCAAAAAUGUUUUCUAAAUAUACCUUAAUGAAUUUCUAAAUGAGGUAAAAAUGCAGUGACAUUUUCUAUAAUCAUGAACAUAAAUGUUCGAUAGAUAUUUGCCUUUUUAAAAUCUUACAAUAAUAAUUGCGCUAUAAAGUUUUUUUACAAAUACGCAAUGUCUAGACGGAUCUAAGAGCAGGAUUAUCAGGAUAUUUUUUGGGGUUCUUACCAAAAAGUAAGGGAUGGCCCCACCGAAAUGCCCAAGAAUGGUUGCAAAAAUGCUGAAAUAAGAAUCGAGUCUUGCACUGUUCAUGAGUCCUAUUGACACGUGGUUGUCCACGAUUAUUUUUUUUUAAUUUUUUUAAUUAGAUCAAAAAAAUAAUAAUAAUAAGAAUCCCAAAUGGAUUUUAGCGUUAAUCAUGCUCUAACGGUUACUUUAUAAAUUUCAACAUUAAUAAUGAUGAUAUAUAAUAUUACCAUAAAAAAAGCUAGUUUUAGGAUAUGAUAGUUAAUAUUAAAUGUGUUAAGCUUAAGAUUAGUAUAUAGUCGAAUUAAUUAUAUAUAUAUAGUAUACUUUUAAAAAAAAAAUUUACGUAGAAGCAAGUUGGUUCCGACGCAAUGUUUUUGUUUUAAUAAGAUAGAUAUUUUCAUAUGAAUAUCUCAAUAGAAAUUAUAACUGAACUAUAAAUAAAAACAUAGAAAAUAGAACAUAUAGCCGUUUGAUUAAUUCGGUGUGGAAGCGUUAGACCGAAUCAAAGCAAAUUCAAUUCCAGUUAAGACAACUGAGAUUGGUUUAUCAUGGUUUGGUUUGGUCUACAAUGACCAUUCCUAUGCACGCGCUAGAGGAUUAAGCCACACAAUCGACGUGUUUGUUCGCUACUCUGCAUAUUUCGUCUUUCACUUAUUCCUCUCCACUCCAACGAGCUUACGUGCGUCUCUCCCACCUGCUCCCAACUCCCAAGGAUACUCACACUCGUCGUCAUCCUCUUGAUCGCUCUCCAAAGAAGUUUCGCAUCUCUCUCUCCUCCCGCGUCUUUCCCUUACACUUCUCCUUAAACUGUAUCCACAGACAUCUGCAAAAUUUGUUCUUUCUGAAAAUUAUUUUAUGGGUUUCAUUUCGUUUCGUUGAUUUACGAGUUUACAGUUCUGAGUCUCUCUUUCUUCGCGUUUUGAGCUCUGUAGAAGAGUAAAGACCUCAACUUUUCUGAUCUUCUCUUUUAGUUAGCGAAAUGUCGUUGGAUUUGAGUUAGGGUUUUGUGUUCUGUAGCUCAGUCUCACUAAAGUUGGUGUCUUUAUGAUCUCCUGGGUUGUUUCUUACUCUGAUCUUUCCAAAGAUGUCAACUUUUAGUAAGUUUCUGUAACUGGGUUAGUGAAUCUCAGGUUCUGAAUGGGUUUUGUGUGUUCUGUAGCUCAGCCUCACUAAAGUUCGUGUCUUUAUGAUGUUCUCUGUUGUUUUAUUACUCUGAUCUUUGUAGAAGAGUAAAAACGUCAACUUUUUCAUGAUCUUCAGGUAUAAGGUUCAGUGAUUAGUGUGUAAUUAUGUAUUUAUACCAAGUUCCUUUGCUUCUUUGUGGUUGCAGGUUGAAAUGUAUUCAAGAAGAGAGCUGGAUGAUUUGGAGUACAGAUACUACUGUGAGCUGAAAGAUGGCACUCGCAAGGUCAAGAUCUCUGACUCUCUCUUCAGGUGUCCCUUCUGCUACAUUGACCGCAAGCGUGACUACAACUUUGACGACUUGCUUCGUCAUGCUUACAACAUUAGCGGCAGUUCCCGCACUAAGGAUGGCGCUAGACAUCUCGCACUUGAGAGAUACAUGAAGAAGUAUCUCCGCCCUCUGGAAAGACCAUCAUCAGAUGUCUCUUCUCUUCCUACAGAGGUGUUAACCGGAAACUGGAAGACUGGUUCUUCAAGUUCUGCUGCAGGGGAAGUGAAUAGCAGCGUUGUCAAAUCCAGUUCACCACGUAUCGCUGAAGCUGAACCUAUGUCUGUCUCAGGAGGAGAUGAUCCUGUACCAAGCGGUGAAGAAAGACAGAUGUUUUCUCCUAAACCCAGCUCCUCUUUGAGCAACCAAGACAGUACACACCCUUCCAAGAGAGCUUGCCUCACUGCUGGUGCUAAAGAGAGUGAAAAACCUGUCCAACAGAGUGGUCUCAGCCAUGGUGCUCCAAGAUAUCCUCAGAGGCGUGAUCGUUUGGCUGCUCGAAAUGAUGGUCUGAUGUUUGUGCAUCCAUGGAAAGGGAUCUUGGCCAACAUCAGUAGAAUUUAUAAUGAGAAAACAGGCAAGUUCGCUGGCGAGAGUGGAAGCAAAAUUAGGGAAGAGUUUAUUAGCAAAGGGUUUAACCCCCACAAAGUGGAGCCACUGUGGAACGGCAGAGUUGGUUUCACAGGUUUUGCGAUUGUUUACUUCGGCAAAGACUGGGAAGCUUACAGGAACGCCACCAUGUUUGAGAAGCACUUUGAAGUCAAUCAGUGUGGGAAGAGAGACUACGAUUCUGCACGUGAUCUUGGUGAAGAGCUUUACGGUUGGAUAGCGAAAAAGGAGGACUAUUAUUCGAGAACUGUAGUUGGAGACCACCUCAGGAAGCAAGGGGACUUGGUGACUGUUUCUGGAAAAGAAGCAGAGCAACAAAGAAGGGCAUUCACGCUUGUCUCCAACUUGGAAAACACACUCGAGACCAAAAGCACUAACCUUGAAGAGAUAGAGAGCAAGUACAAAGAAACCAGUACAGAGCUUCAGAGGAGUAUGAAAGAGAAGGAUGAAAUGAUCAACGCUCAUAAU
rnacentral:lncRNA from 1 species